rnacentral:lncRNA from 1 species
CUCGUGGUUCACAUGUUGCUAUCUCUGUGCCAAUUGACACUUUUCCUCUUGGAAGCUCCACCACAAUCGAAGAAGCAGUAGACACAGGCUCACUACACACAGUUCUUGAUGAUGUAGCAGCGCUGCCAAGCACAGGUCUGGUCGAUUUAGGUUCCUUCUUAUCUGGUGAAGGUGUGCUAUUUGUUAAAUUGCCUGCUGCUACUGGCUGUAUGUUAAAAGGGUUUUGUUCUUCUUUCUCCUUAUCAUUUUCCCCACCUAACAGAAGAGAUGAGGAGCCUGCAACUAGGCUGGGCACUGGUGUUUCAAAUGUUGCUGUCUCAGUGCCAAUUGACACUUUUCCUCUUGGAAGCUCUACCACAAUCGAAGAAGCAGUAGACACAGGCUCACUACACACAGUCCUUGAUGAUGAAUCAGCGCUGCCAAGCACAGGUCUGGCCAAUUUAGGUUCCUUCUUAUCUGGUGAAGGUGUGCUAUUUGUUAAAUUGCCUGCUGGUACUGGCUGUGCGUUAAAGGGCUUGUGUUCUGCUUUCUCCUUAUUUUCCCCACCUAAUGGAAGAGAUGAGGAGCCUGCAACUAGGCUGG